rnacentral:rRNA from 1 species
AUGAACGCUAGCGGCAGGCCUAAUACAUGCAAGUCGAACGGUAAAUAGAUCAGCAAUGGUCUAUGAGAGUGACGCACGGGUGCGUAACACGUAUGCAACCUACCCUUUACAGGAGUAUAGCUCGGGGAAACUCGAAUUAACACUUCAUAGUAUGAUUGAAUGGCAUCAUUUGAUUAUUAAAUCUGCGGAGGUAAAGGAUGGGCAUGCGUCUGAUUAGCUAGUUGGUAGUGUAAUGGACUACCAAGGCGAUGAUCAGUAGGGGACCUGAGAGGUUGAUCCCCCACACUGGCACUGAGAUACGGGCCAGACUCCUACGGGAGGCAGCAGUAGGGAAUAUUGGUCAAUGGGUGAGAGCCUGAACCAGCCAUGCCGCGUGCAGGAAGACGGCCUUCUGGGUUGUAAACUGCUUUUGUCAGGGGAUAAAAUUUCCUUGCGAGGAAAAUUGAAGGUACCUGGCGAAUAAGCCACGGCUAACUACGU